rnacentral:rRNA from 1 species
CGCUGGCGGCNUGCUUAACACAUGCAAGUCGAACGGUAACGGGUUAAGCCNNCGAGUGGCGGACGGGUGAGUAAUACAUGGGAAUCUGCCUGAUAGUGGGGGACAACCUAGGGAAACUUAGGCUAAUACCGCAUAAUCCUAAGGGGGGAAAGUAGGGGANCUUCGGGCCUUACGCUAACAGAUGAGCCCAUGUCGGAUUAGCUAGUUGGUAGGGUAAAAGCCUACCAAGGCUACGAUCCGUAGCUGGUCUGAGAGGACGACCAGCCACACUGGGACUGAGACACGGCCCAGACUCCUGCGGGAGGCAGCAGUGGGGAAUAUUGGACAAUGGGGGCAACCCUGAUCCAGCAAUGCCGCGUGUGUGAAGAAGGCCUGCGGGUUGUAAAGCACUUUAGGUUGGGAAGAAAAAGCACAUGCUAAUACCAUGUGAAAUUGACGUUACCAACGGAAUAAGCACCGGCUAACUCUGUGCCAGCAGCCGCGGUAAUACAGAGGGUGCAAGCGUUAAUCGGAAUUACUGGGCGUAAAGCGUGCGUAGGUGGUUAAUUAAGUCAGAUGUGAAAUCCCUGAGCUUAACUUAGGAACAGCAUUUGAUACUGGUUGACUAGAGUGUAAUAGAGGGUAGUGGAAUUCCACGUGUAGCGGUGAAAUGCGUAGAUAUGUGGAGGAACAUCAGUGGCGAAGGCGACUACCUGGAUUAACACUGACACUGAGGCACGAAAGCGUGGGGAGCAAACAGGAUUAGAUACCCUGGUAGUCCACGCCCUAAACGAUGAGAACUAGAUGUUGGGAGAGACUGUCUCUUACUAUCGCAGCUAACGCACUAAGUUCUCCGCCUGGGGAGUACGGUCGCAAGAUUAAAACUCAAAUGAAUUGACGGGGGCCCGCACAAGCGGUGGAGCAUGUGGUUUAAUNCGAUGCAACGCGAAGAACCUUACCUGGUCUUGACAUCCUAAGAAUCCUGUAGAAAUAUGGGAGUGCCUUCGGGAGCUUAGAGACAGGUGCUGCAUGGCUGUCGUCAGCUCGUGUCGUGAGAUGUUGGGUUAAGUCCCGCAACGAGCGCAACCCCUAUCCUUAGUUGCCAGCGUAAAGGUCGGGAACUCUAAGGAGACUGCCGAUGACAAAUCGGAGGAAGGUGGGGAUGACGUCAAGUCAUCAUGGCCUUUAUGACCAGGGCUACACACGUGCUACAAUGGUAGGUACAAAGGGUUGCCAAGCCGCGAGGUGGAGCCAAUCCCAGAAAACCUAUCGUAGUCCGGAUUGAAGUCUGCAACUCGACUCCAUGAAGUCGGAAUCGCUAGUAAUCGUAGAUCAGCACUGCUACGGUGAAUACGUUCCCGGGCCUUGUACACACCGCCCGUCACACCAUGGGAGUGGGCUGUACCNGNNGUAGGUAGUCUAACCGNNNNNNNNGCGCUUACCACGGUAUGGUUCAUGACUGGGGUNAAGUCGUAACAAGGUA